rnacentral:rRNA from 1 species
CGUAGGGUGCGAGCGUUAAUCGGAAUUACUGGGCGUAAAGUGUGCGCAGGCGGCCGAGCAAGUCGAGUGUGAAAGCCCCGGGCUUAACUUGGGAAUUGCGCUCGAAACUACUUGGCUUGAGUGUGGCAGAGGAAGGUGGAAUUCCACGUGUAGCGGUGAAAUGCGUAGAGAUGUGGAGGAACACCGAUGGCGAAGGCAGCCUUCUGGGCCAACACUGACGCUCAUGCACGAAAGCGUGGGGAGCAAACAGGAUUAGAUACCCUGGUAGUCCACGCCCUAAACGAUGAUGACUAGUUGUUGGGGGAGUUAAAUCCCUUAGUAACGCAGCUAACGCGUGAAGUCAUCCGCCUGGGGAGUACGGUCGCAAGAUUA